GUUAGAGAGUGCUCUAAAGAAGAAAUGAGAAGGAAAAAAGGGAAAUUAAUGAAAUCGAUUCUCAAUACCGGCAGGAAGUGACUGAGGUGCCCUUGAGCAAGGCACCUAAGCCUCAGUCACCACAUCAAAAUGGCUGCCCACUGCUCCGGAACAAGAGCAGUCUUUUUCAGAAGACGGAUCUAAUGCUGAGGUUUUCUUCAAAUAUCCCGAUCUCUCGUGUGAUUUUGUGGAGUAGGAACGUUCCUGAUCAUCAUCAUCAUCCUCAGGAUUGUAGGAACAGAAAGGGGCUUCAACAACAUUCUCAUCAAUGGAUCAUUUCAGCUUCAUUGAUGCUCAGGGAGGAUCAGGACCAGGAUUCUCUCACAAACACGUGUUACUCCACAAAAUCACACUGAACGUCUGCAGACAAACACCUUCCUGACACAAACACCAGGACUUACACACAUCUAUUUUUUGCAGCUCAAACUUCACACAACAAUAAAAUGAACUUUCUUGAA